rnacentral:rRNA from 1 species
UACGUAGGGGGCAAGCGUUGUCCGGAAUCAUUGGGCGUAAAGAGCGUGUAGGCGGCCAGAUAAGUCCGCUGUGAAAUCUCGAGGCUCAACUUCGAGCUGUCGGUGGAAACUGUCUGGCUAGAGUCCGGAAGAGGAGAAUGGAAUUCCUGGUGUAGCGGUGAAAUGCGCAGAUAUCAGGAGGAACACCGGUGGCGAAGGCGGGUCUCUGGGCAGUAACUGACGCUGAGGAGCGAAAGCGUGGGGAGCGAACAGG